rnacentral:rRNA from 1 species
GACUUAUCUCGUGUUUAACGAGAGUGACGGGCGAUAUGUACACGAUCCAUGGCUUGUUCAAUAUUCUAUUCUAAAGUUUAUUUACUAUUAAGUCCGUCUUUAAUAUUAGUAUUAUAUUAAUAUUGUGCUUAUUUUUAAAUUGUAGCUCAUCAUUUCUUAAAAGAUGCGCUGCACCUUGACCUGUUUUUUUCAAAUAAUGGCUGGGUUAUUAGGACUUUAAAGUGAUUAAUUUUUACGGCGGUAUACAGGCAUGCUUGAAGUAAGUUAGAUUGUGUGGUGACAUUUAGGUGACGAGCUCCCCUAAUUAGGUGAAUUGCCGUCAAAUUCUUUAGGUUUGGUGUUAUAGUGUUUACUACCUUCCAUUUGGUUUUGUCAGGAAUAGCAGGGUAUCUAAUCCUGGUUUAAGAUCUGUUUUAAGUAGUGUUGAUAAUUAAUUUUAUUUGUAAAAUUUUACCUAUAAAAUAAAAUUUUAUUAGUUUAAUAUAACUACUAUGGUUAAAUUAAAUUUAAGGCCUUAAGUCUAACCGC